CAAAAACCAAAGAGGAAAAAAAAAUCUUUCACAGAGAAUUAAAAAGCAUUCAGGUUUCAUUCCAACGAGCUGGGCGUCAGGACCUCAGCAUUCUUUGAGAAAAGAGAUUAUUGUCUCCAGCCAGCUCUGGUGUAAGCCUGUAAAAUCCUCUGCCAAUCUUUUAGAUGAAUUACCAGCCAACUAAUUCCUUUUCAUCACCAGUUCAUCGAACACUACCUGCACGGACUAGGAGCUGGAGAGUUUGUGUAUACGGACAGAGCUGUUUUACUAGAAUGUCUCCCUAGUGACUUACUGUUUUAACUCAGCCUUUGAAUGGCGUGCACAAAAACCCUGACAUCUUUCUCAGCUCGUGACAACAACAUCCUUCACCUUCUGACCCCCAACACAUUUCCAUGCAUCCUGGGAUCUUUCAUUCAUUAUUGAUUAGGGAAGGCAGCGCUAUACAGCUCUGCAAUGAAGAGAUGCCCUCACAUAUAUUUACUCAGAUCAGAGAUCUCUGCCAAGCCUCCCAGCUGCCAGCCAAGAAUGAAAAGUGCCCAGCACUACACCCAAGGAGAGAUGGAGGGGAGCCAGACUGCCAGCUCCUGAGCACCAGCCAAGAGGAAAAGCAGCACUAAAUAGGUGAAGUCCAGUCCAUAGGUACCGGCAAUACGGUGCACAUCUGAGAGCCCACAGACCAGGUUAUGAAGCAGGCAGAUGCAUGCAUCAGCGGCUGAUGAGACAUGGAGCCCCAUCCAGCUCUGCAUCUGGUCCCAUGAAAAUUCAUCCCAGUUUGGAUGAAACCCACGAGCUAAGCUCUUCUGGCAGGUCUCCCUGCAAAAUAGUUUGACUUCGACAGAAAACACCAUGGAAAAAAACAUGGCUUCUCAGCACACCAUUGUUUCUCUCAUACACUCAGCAAUUUCACCCAAACCGUGAUUGAUGCUCAACCCUCAUAACACAGUCGAGAGAAACUGUUUCUAUGAUCUGUCAUUUAACCACAGGGCUACCUCAGUGCAUUUGUUUGCACCGCAGAAGCAGAGUUCUGUGAUGAAAAGGUUACUUAGCUGCAGCAUGGCAACUCGGCUCAGUGGUAACCUCUGGAUGGAGGAAAACAAACACAGUAGUAGCGUGCUGCUGAUGCCACGUAAAGAGGAGGCUUCAGUUCCAAAACCACAUCAAGGAGAUGAUUACUCAUUCCCACAUCUGGAAAUAUGCUAAACUGCCAUCUAGAGUGCUCCACACUGAAGAAAGAUGAGAUCUAAUUGCUAGAGGCGUGUUGUUCCUCGGAUGAUCAGGAAAACAGAAAAAUGAUUACAAAACCAAACAAAAUCAGCAUAGAUCGUUGCUUAUAAGCACAUCGAGACGGCAAACACCCAGGCUGAAAAAGAACCACAUAAGCUAAAGUCAAAAAAAAGCAGAAGAGACUAAUCUCCACUAAUAAGUUUAGAUAGGAAGUUAGAAUAACAUUUCAAACUGUCAAGAAAUAAGAAGUAGUACCGGUGUCAUAAAAAAACAUAUGGGAGGGUUGUCAUUAAAAUUUUUAUGAACUGACUGCCUAACAAAACCAGGAUAUGGGACAAGAUGACUCACAAGCCCCUUCAAGUCCUAGGCUAUCACAAGUUGUUAUCUAGGGUUUAGCUAACAGAUCUCUCUCUGAAGCAGGGAUCUUCUGUCCCUCUUAAAACAGCAGUUACGUCCACAGGAGACAACCAGGCUGAGCAGUUAACAGAACACGGGUGAUGACAGAUGGGUGAGCACUUGUGCACACAACACAUGGCACACAAACACCUCUUAUAUUAUUCAAGCACAUUGCUUAUAUACUUCAUCUGUAAGGAUAUUCUUAUACAUAAGAAGCAUGCUACCUAUGUAUAAAGUUAACAUUUUCAGAUAAAUCUGAAGCAUGGCUGCGAAUUUAUGGAAGUCCAUUUAUAGAAGAAAACGUGAUGCAAUGGUAAUGUGAUUUUCCACUUUAAAAUUAAGCAUGUCCAAUAAAGAACAUCCUUUCAAAAUCCUAAUGUCUGCA
ensembl:lncRNA